UACGUAGGGGGCAAGCGUUGUCCGGAUUUAUUGGGCGUAAAGAGCGUGUAGGCGGCCAGACAGGUCUGCUGUGAAAACUCGAGGCUCAACCUCGAGAUGUCGGCGGAAACCGUCUGGCUAGAGUCCGGAAGAGGAGAGUGGAAUUCCUGGUGUAGCGGUGAAAUGCGUAGAUAUCUGGAGGAACACCGGUGGCGAAGGCGGCGUUCUGGACUGUAACUGACACUGAGAAACGAAAGCCAGGGUAGCAAACGGG
rnacentral:rRNA from 1 species